UACAGAGGGGGCAAGCGUUGUUCGGAAUUACUGGGCGUAAAGGGCGCGUAGGCGGCCUUCUAAGUCGAACGUGAAAUCCCCGGGCUCAACCCGGGAACUGCGUCCGAUACUGGAAGGCUUGAAUCCGGGAGAGGGAUGCGGAAUUCCAGGUGUAGCGGUGAAAUGCGUAGAUAUCUGGAGGAACACCGGUGGCGAAGGCGGCGAUCCUGGACCGGUAUUGACGCUGGAGGCGCGAAAGCCAGGGGAGCAA
rnacentral:rRNA from 1 species